rnacentral:rRNA from 1 species
ACAUGUACGUGUUACUGAUCUGAGAGGAGAGGGACCCAUGCUUCGGUAUGGGAGGCGUACACAGGUGCUGCAUGGCUGUCGUCAGCUCGUGUCGUGAGAUGUUGGGUUAAGUCCCGCAACGAGCGCAACCCUGCAUCCAGUUGCCAUCGGGCGAGCCGGGCACUCUGGAGGGACUGCCGGCGACAAGCCGGAGGAAGGUGGGGAGUGACGUCAAGUCAUCAUGGCCCUUAUGUCCAGGGCGACACACGUGCUACAAUGGCCGGCACAGCGGGAAGCGGAGGGGCGGACCCUGAGCGGAUCCCUUGAAAGCCGGUCCCAGUUCGGAUUGCAGUCUGCAACUCGACUGCAUGAAGUUGGAAUCGCUAGUAAUCGCGGAUCAGCCAAGCCGCGGUGAAUACGUUCCCGGGCCUU